UGGGGAAUAUUGCACAAUGGGCGCAAGCCUGAUGCAGCCAUGCCGCGUGUGUGAAGAAGGCCUUCGGGUUGUAAAGCACUUUCAGCGGGGAGGAAGGCGAUAAGGUUAAUAACCUCAUCGAUUGACGUUACCCGCAGAAGAAGCACCGGCUAACUCCGUGCCAGCAGCCGCGGUAAUACGGAGGGUGCAAGCGUUAAUCGGAAUUACUGGGCGUAAAGCGCACGCAGGCGGUCUGUCAAGUCGGAUGUGAAAUCCCCGGGCUCAACCUGGGAACUGCAUUCGAAACUGGCAGGCUAGAGUCUUGUAGAGGGGGGUAGAAUUCCAGGUGUAGCGGUGAAAUGCGUAGAGAUCUGGAGGAAUACCGGUGGCGAAGGUGGCCCCCUGGACAAAGACUGACGCUCAGGUGCGAAAGCGUGGGGAGCAAACAGG
rnacentral:rRNA from 1 species